rnacentral:rRNA from 1 species
UACGGGGGGAGCAAGCGUUGUUCGGAUUUACUGGGCGUAAAGGGCGCGUAGGCGGUCAGCACAAGUCAGUUGUGAAAUCUCCGGGCUUAACUCGGAAAGGUCAACUGAUACUGUGCGACUAGAGUGCAGAAGGGGCAACUGGAAUUCUCGGUGUAGCGGUGAAAUGCGUAGAUAUCGGGAGGAACACCAAUGGCGAAGGCAGCUCGCUGGGACGUGACUGACGCUGAGGCGCGAAAGCGUGGGGAGCAAACAGG